UACAGAGGGUGCGAGCGUUAAUCGGAAUUACUGGGCGUAAAGCGUGCGUAGACGGCUAUCUAAGUCGGGUGUGAAAGCCCCGGGCUCAACCUGGGAAUUGCAUUCGAGACUGAAUAGCUAGGGUACGGUAGAGGGAAGCGGAAUUUCCGGUGUAGCGGUGAAAUGUGUAGAGAUCGGGAGGAACACCGGUGGCGAAGGCGGCUAUCUGGACAGAGUCUGACGCUGAGGCGCGAAAGCUAGGGGAGCAAACAGG
rnacentral:rRNA from 1 species